rnacentral:snRNA from 1 species
GCUUUGGAUGUGACAUGUGUCGUCCAUUGAGCACCAUGGUUGACUCAGCUGACCUUGCUGACUGGGUGGGUGUCCCUUUCCU